rnacentral:rRNA from 1 species
GACGAACGCUGGCGGCGUGCUUAACACAUGCAAGUCGAACGGAAAGGCCCUGCUUUUGUGGGGUGCUCGAGUGGCGAACGGGUGAGUAACACGUGAGUAACCUGCCCUUGACUUUGGGAUAACUUCAGGAAACUGGGGCUAAUACCGGAUAGGAGCUCCUGCUGCAUGGUGGGGGUUGGAAAGUUUCGGCGGUUGGGGAUGGACUCGCGGCUUAUCAGCUUGUUGGUGGGGUAGUGGCUUACCAAGGCUUUGACGGGUAGCCGGCCUGAGAGGGUGACCGGCCACAUUGGGACUUAGAUACGGCCCAGACUCCUACGGGAGGCAGCAGUGGGGAAUAUUGCACAAUGGGCGGAAGCCUGAUGCAGCAACGCCGCGUGCGGGAUGACGGCCUUCGGGUUGUAAACCGCUUUCGCCUAUGACGAAGCGUGAGUGACGGUAAUGGGUAAAGAAGCACCGGCUAACUACGUG